rnacentral:rRNA from 1 species
AGUGAACGCUGGCGGUAGGCCUAACACAUGCAAGUCGAACGGCAGCACAGUAAGAGCUUGCUCUUACGGGUGGCGAGUGGCGGACGGGUGAGGAAUACAUCGGAAUCUACUUUUUCGUGGGGGAUAACGUAGGGAAACUUACGCUAAUACCGCAUACGACCUACGGGUGAAAGCAGGGGAUCUUCGGACCUUGCGCGAUUGAAUGAGCCGAUGUUGGAUUAGCUAGUUGGCGGGGUAAAGGCCCACCAAGGCGACGAUCCGUAGCUGGGCUGAGAGGAUGAUCAGCCACACUGGAACUGAGACACGGUCCAGACUCCUACGGGAGGCAGCAGUGGGGAAUAUUGGACAAUGGGCGCAAGCCUGAUCCAGCCAUACCGCGUGGGUGAAGAAGGCCUUCGGGUUGUAAAGCCCUUUUGUUGGGAAAGAAAAGCAGCAGGUUAAUACCCCGCUGUUCUGACGGUACCCAAAGAAUAAGCACCGGCUAACUUCGUG